GAGCCUUCUUCUCUAGUCAGGCGCCCUUCCCUAACUCCUUCUUCCAGACGCAUCCCCAUAUUCACCAUCUCGGUGAAGUCAGAAGGAGCGCUGGCAAUCAUUCGCUCAUAAUAGAAUGAACUCAAGGUCUUCAGAAAGAUCUUGGUCAUCUCUUUCUCUUCUAGCAGAGGCACGAUCUGUGCAGCCAACUCUCGCCACAUCUGGGCGUACUCCUUAAAAG
rnacentral:lncRNA from 1 species